CCCUUAGAUGUUCUGGGCCGCACGCGCGCUACACUGAAUGGAUCAACGUGUUUUCCCUUCCCGAGAGGGACGGGUAACCCGCUGAACCCCAUUCGUGGUAGGGAUCGGAGCUUGCAAUUGUUCUCCGUGAACCAGGAAUUCCCAGUAAGCGCAAGUCAUAAGCUUGCGUUGAUUACGUCCCUGCCCUUUGUACACACCGCCCGUCGCUACUACCGAUUGAGUGAUCCGGUGAAUAAUUCGGACUGCGGCAUUGACCGGUUCCCGAUCGUUGCUGCGGAAAGUUUAGUGAACCUUAUCACUUAGAGGAAGGAGAAGUCGUAACA
rnacentral:rRNA from 1 species